rnacentral:pre_miRNA from 1 species
UGUAUAAAAAUUCUAUUCAUUUCUAUUAUUAAAAACUGACAUCGCUAAUUGAAUAACCAAACAGUGACACGUGAUAUAUCACAUGCACCUCAUGUUGAAGUAUAAGGAUCACUUUUAAUAGUACAUUCGGAUGAAAUUUUUAACA